GACAAACGCUGGCGGCGUGCCUAACACAUGCAAGUCCUACGAGAACCACGGAGCUUGCUCCGUGUAGUAAAGUGGCGAAUGGGUGAGUAACACGUAGGUAACCUACCUCAUGGAUGGGGAUAACUUCUCGAAAGGGGAGCUAAUACCCUAUAAUGCAGCGGGCUCUUCGGAGCAUGUUGUUAAAGCUGGGGACCCUUCGGGGCCUAGCGCCUUGAGAUGGGCCUGCGCCUGAUUAGUUUGUUGGUGAGGUAACGGCUCACCAAGACUACGAUCAGUAGCUGGUCUGAGAGGAUGUACAGCCACACUGGGAUUGAGAUACGGCCCAGACUCCUAAGGGAGGCAGCAGUGAGGAAUCUUGCGCAAUGUUCGAAAGAGUGACGCAGCAACGCCGCGUGGUCGAUGAUGACUCUGAGGAGUGUAAAGACCUGUUGGGAGGGAAGAAAACCCCUUACAAAUAGUACAGGGAAUUGACGGUACCUUCCAUAGAAAGCUCCGGCUAACUUCGUGCCAGCAGCCGCGGUAAUACGAGGGGAGCAAGCGUUGUCCGGAUUUAUUGGGCGUAAAGGGCGUGUAGGCGGAUCGGCAAGUCAGGUUUUAAAUAGUACGGCUCAACCGUAUCAAUGGGUCUGAUACUGUCGGUCUUGAGUUCGAGAGAGGGAAGCGGAAUUCCUGGUGUAGCGGUGAAAUGCCAUGAUAUCAGGAGGAACACCGGCGGCGAAGGCGGCUUCCUGGCUCGACACUGACGCUGAGGCGCGAAAGCGUGGGUAGCGAACAGGAUUAGAUACCCUGGUAGUCCACGCCGUAAACGAUGGAUACUAGGCGUCGGGAGACUUUUGACCCUCUCGGUGCCGAAGCUAACGCAUUAAGUAUCCCGCCUGGGGAGUACGACCGCAAGGUUGAAACUCAAAGGAAUUGACGGG
rnacentral:rRNA from 1 species